rnacentral:rRNA from 1 species
GACGAACGCUGGCGGCGUGCCUAAUACAUGCAAGUCGAGCGAAGUUUUUCUGGUGCUUGCACUAGAAAAACUUAGCGGCGAACGGGUGAGUAACACGUAAAGAACCUGCCUCAUAGACUGGGACAACUAUUGGAAACGAUAGCUAAUACCGGAUAACAGCAUUAACUGCAUGGUUGAUGUUUAAAAGUUGGUUAUGCUAACACUAUGAGAUGGCUUUGCGGUGCAUUAGCUAGUUGGUGGGGUAAAGGCCUACCAAGGCGACGAUGCAUAGCCGACCUGAGAGGGUGAUCGGCCACACUGGGACUGAGACACGGCCCAGACUCCUACGGGAGGCAGCAGUAGGGAAUCUUCCGCAAUGGGCGAAAGCCUGACGGAGCAACGCCGCGUGAGUGAAGAAGGAUUUCGGUUCGUAAAGCUCUGUUGUUAGGGAAGAAUGGAUAUGUAGUAACUAUACAUAUAAGAGACGAC